CCUACGGGAGGCAGCAGUAAGGAAUAUUGGUCAAUGGACGGAAGUCUGAACCAGCCAUGCCGCGUGCAGGAUGACGGCCCUCUGGGUUGUAAACUGCUUUUAUAGGGGACGAAAAAAGGGGAUUCUUCCUCACUUGACGGUACCCUAGGAAUAAGCACCGGCUAACUCCGUGCCAGCAGCCGCGGUAAUACGGAGGGUGCAAGCGUUAUCCGGAUUUACUGGGUUUAAAGGGUGCGUAGGUGGGUCGGUAAGUCAGCGGUGAAAUCUUCGAGCUUAACUCGGAAACUGCCAUUGAUACUAUCGAUCUUGAAUCGUCUAGAGGUAAGCGGAAUAUGUCAUGUAGCGGUGAAAUGCUUAGAUAUGACAUAGAACACCAAUUGCGAAGGCAGCUUACUAUGGAUGUAUUGACACUGAGGCACGAAAGCGUGGGGAUCAAACAGGAUUAGAUACCCUGGUAGUCCACGCCCUAAACGAUGGAUACUCGACAUUUGAGAUAUACUUUAAGUGUCUGAGCGAAAGCAUUAAGUAUCCCACCUGGAAGUACGAUCGCAAGAUUGAAACUCAAAGGAAUUGACGGCNGAGAGAGACGAGACGACACGAGGGAGGAGG
rnacentral:rRNA from 1 species